rnacentral:rRNA from 1 species
UACGGAGGGGGCUAGCGUUGUUCGGAAUUACUGGGCGUAAAGCGCGCGUAGGUGGAUCUGCAAGUCGGGGGUGAAAUCCCGAGGCUCAACCUCGGAACUGCCUUCGAUACUGCGGGUCUCGAGUCCGGGAGAGGUGAGUGGAAUUCCUAGUGUAGAGGUGAAAUGCGCAGAUAUCAGGAAGAACACCCGUGGCUAAGGCGGUUCUCUAGUACGGUACUGACGCUGAGACGCGAAAGCGUGGGGAGCAAACAGG